rnacentral:misc_RNA from 1 species
GCGGCAUCUCGCGGGAGCAAGCCCACUUUCAAAUCCUUCGCGCGAUAGAAAAGUUCGCCAUCGGCCGAAAGGGUGCCAUCGGCAAUGCCGAGCCAGAGCUUUGAGCGCAUCACGCGCUUGACGUCGAUAGUGUACACGACCUUGGUGACGUGCGGCAGAACCUGACCGGCGAACUUGAGUUCGCUCAAUCCCAGCGCACGGCCGCGGCCCAGCCCGCCGGACCAACCGAGAAAAAAACCAACCAUUUGCCACAGCGCAUCGAGUCCAAGGCAUCCGGGCAUC